rnacentral:rRNA from 1 species
AGGGUUCGAUCCUGGCUCAGGAUGAACGCUAGCGGCAGGCUUAACACAUGCAAGUCGAGGGGUAACGGGGAAGCUUGCUUCCGCCGACGACCGGCGCACGGGUGCGUAACGCGUAUACAAUCUACCUUGUACUGGGGUAUAGCCUUUAGAAAUGAAGAUUAAUCCCCCAUAGUCUCUUAGAGUGGCAUCACUUCUAGAGUAAAGGUUACGGUAUAAGAUGAGUAUGCGUUCUAUUAGUUUGUUGGUGUGGUAACGGCACACCAAGACUACGAUAGAUAGGGGCCCUGAGAGGGGGAUCCCCCACACUGGUACUGAGACACGGACCAGACUCCUACGGGAGGCAGCAGUGAGGAAUAUUGGACAAUGGAGGCAACUCUGAUCCAGCCAUGCCGCGUGCAGGAAGACUGCCCUAUGGGUUGUAAACUGCUUUUAUACAGGAAGAAACACCUCUACGUGUAGAGGCUUGACGGUACUGUAAGAAUAAGGAUCGGCUAACUCCGUGCCAGCCGCCGCGGUAAUAC